CCGCGGUAAUACGUAGGGGGCUAGCGUUAUCCGGAUUUACUGGGCGUAAAGGGUGCGUAGGCGGUCUUUCAAGUCAGGAGUGAAAGGCUACGGCUCAACCGUAGUAAGCUCUUGAAACUGGGAGACUUGAGGGCAGGAGAGGAGAGUGGAAUUCCUAGUGUAGCGGUGAAAUGCGUAGAUAUUAGGAGGAACACCAGUUGCGAAGGCGGCUCUCUGGACUGUAACUGACGCUGAGGCACGAAAGCGUGGGGAGCAAACAGGAUUAGAUACCCUGGUAGUCCACGCUGUAAACGAUGAGUACUAGGUGUCGGGGGUUACCCCC
rnacentral:rRNA from 1 species